GCAUCAUGCAUUUUCUAAUCAAUUCCUUAAAUCGCUCCUAAGCUUCAUACAAUGUCUCAUCUUUAGAUUGCCAAAAAGAUGUAAUAUCGUUCCUUAAUUC
rfam:Gossypium hirsutum cultivar TM-1 chromosome 11, whole genome shotgun sequence